rnacentral:lncRNA from 1 species
CUAGAAAUCCUGAGCCAUUCACUGCAUACUUCCUACCUGGCAGUGAUCCUGCGUUUUUUGUAAAACCUAAGGUUGGAAAACUUCUUCCUUUUGACACUGAAGGAACUCUCAUCAUUGUGGGUUUUAAACCCCAAAUGUACAGUAGGAAGUACAAAGCAACAUUAGCAAUACAGGUAAAGUGAUUUGUAUAUUCACAUAUUGUUUUCUGUAAUAACCUAUUCAAGAACUUCAGGUGAUUUGAGAUAGAGAUUUUGGAAUCUUUGAUGAAGCCAUAAGGUAUUGCCAAAAUGUUAAAGUCUAAAAUGAAGAAAAUUAGGGGUGCCUGGAUGGCUCAGUUGGUUAAGCAUCUGCCUCUCGAUUGCAACUCAGGUCAUGAUCUUGUGGUUCGUGGGUUCGAGCCCUGUGUCGGGCUCCAUGCUGACAGUGUGGAGCCUGCUUGGGAUUCUCUCUGUCUCCCUCUCUUUCUCUGCCCCUCCCCUGCUCUCUUGUGCUCUCUCAAAAUAAAUAAAUAAGCUUAAAUAAAUAAAAUGAAGAAAAUUAAAUAGAAGAUAAAAUUUAUUUUUAAUUGAGAAAAACAAUGUAAAGUGGGCCAUUAAUAUAAAAGUCUGCUCAAGUGAUCAUCUUAAUAAAGUUAAGGUAAACACAAUUUUGAAAAUGUAUGCAGCAAGCAAAAUUUCUCCAUAAGAUUUCACACAUGUAUUUUGCUAAUAGCUUCUAGGCUAAAGACAGCUUUCAAACUGUUUAUGAAAAGAUGCCUAUUGCCAGUGUCUAUUUUCAGUAGCACAGACACAAAGGACGUGUAGUUAUGUUUGAAGACACAACCACUGGUGCCAAAGUGAUUACUAGACUUCUAAAUCAGACACUAAUUAGGCAGUGCAAUGGGCAGAAAGAUGUGUUGUUGCUCUUUUAAUGAAUAGAGAAAAGAAUAAUGUUGAAUAUUUCUUGAGAAAAUUGUUUAUAUUUUUCAUCUUUCUGGGAGUUUUUACAACCCAGGUAAUAACAAUACAAAGCCUCUGGGGCCUUGCCGCACAUUGCCCUUUGCUGUAUUGAUGCUUGGUUUAAAAUGAUCAUAUUGUACCUAUUUCUUAAGAAAUAAUGACAUACUCUUACUCUAAGGGAUUAAAUGAUAUAUUUAAAAACAGGUUUACAAACGAAAAUGAUGUUUAUUUUACCUAGUGCACAGUUGACAUUUUUGAAAUGAAUUACUUUGGAGGCCUUCCCAACAUAAGCUGUGCCUGUUUUCCCUAUGUUGAUUUGACAAUAAAAUCACUGGCAGCAGAAUUGAAGGGUUUCUGUGAGAGAGUAAGUUGACAUAUGGGAUCAAAUGAAAAUAUGAAAUUUUCAUUUAGUCUGAAGUGGUACAGUUUGAUAAAGCUUAUGUGGAAAAUUGAUAUUGAAAUGUGUUGAAGAAAUCACUUUUGUUGACUCUAUUUUUAUUUUGGAAAAUUCCAAAUGUGAAUAUGAAGAGAGUGAAUAAUUACUCCACAUACACUCAUCAUCCAGGGUGAACACUUAUCAAAUCAGGGUCACUUCAAGUGUAUUCCCACCCCCUUACCCAUAUUCCAUAUUAUUUUGAAGAAAAUCCCAGACAUCAUAUUAUCUUCAACUAUUUCCUAUUAAUCUCUAAAAGACCAAAAUCAUAACCAUGAUACCUUUAUCACAUCUGAAAAUUAACAAUAAUCCCUUAGUAUCACAACAUAUCAAAUCUCCAUUCAAUGUUCAAAUUUCCAAUUGACUCACGUGUCUCAUAUUUUUUAACUUAAAAAAAGUAUUAACUUAUAAGAAGUUGCAAAAAUAGUACAUAAAGUCCUAUGAAUACUUCUCCCAGCUUUUCCCAAUGGUGAAAUUUUAUAGACCUACAGUAAUAUAUCAAAAGAAGGAAAUUGACAUUGACAAAACAUUAUUAACUAAGCUAGAGGUCUUCUUCCUCCACGUAUAUGUGGUGUGUGUGUGUGUGUGUGUGUGUGUGUGUGUGUAUUUCUAGACAAUUUGAACUCAUGUGUAGAUCUGUAUAACUACAAUCACAACUGACAUACAGAACUCUUCCAACACAACUGACAGAAUUGGUAACAUUGUAGAAACUGUGUCAUGCUCUUUAUGGUCACGUCCAAUACCAUAACUCCUCCUUUACCGCAGCAACUGCUAUUCUUUCUCCAUCUCUUUGAUUUUCUAAUUUCUAGAACAUUACAUGAAUGGAAUCAUACUCUGUGUGACCUUCUGAGAUUGGCUUUUUAUGCUGAGCAUAAUGCCCUCGAGAUUCAUAAAAGUUAUUGCAGAUAUCAAAUCAAUGAUUUUGAAAUCAUGAUUCAAACAUUGUCUUUCUGACUCAAAACCCUGCUCUUAAUGAUGUCUCACACGAUGUCUCACAUGACGUCUCACAUGAUGUCUCACAUGAUAAAUGUGAAGAAGUUUUAAAGUUUCAUUAUCUAAAUAAAAAUUACCCUGCAUAUGGUAUUAUCAUCUUUUAAGCUAUUGAUGUUAAGCAUUAAAUCAAUUAAUACUUAUAUAUGAAACAUAUGAUCUUCAUUGUGCUUUACUUAGAAACAAAAAUUAAGAUCUUUAAGAACACUUUAGUUAAAUAUUAGCCCACACAAACUUCAACAACUAAAUUAGCAAGCUUCAUAAGUUCUCUUUCAAUUAUACCAUAUUUAGAAUGAUUAAAAACUGCCUUUUCCCCACUAUUAAAGAAGGCAUAUAGCACUAGUUUUGAGAGACUUAAGUAACUUGGUCAGACUGUUUACAAAAAGCAAUGUCACUCAAAGAGAAUAGGUAGUCCACUAAACUUUCCAUGGUUGACAUAAUAAAUCUUAAGUAGUUUAUACAAAAAUGUGAAAGCUACCAAAAUUAUCCAAGAUAAAACAUAUGUUUGUGCAAAAGUAACAUAGAUGGACCUGUUAUAGCUAGAGACAUAACCAGACAUAAGUAAUAUGUAUAUAAAUACAUUGCUUUUAUGGGAAUAAAUCAUUGUUAUAAAACUGUAAGAAAUGGAAUAUAUAUAUAUUAUAUGUAUAUAAUAUAUAUCUUGGUUUGUAUUUCCUCUUAAGCAAAAAUCCAAAAUAAGGAUUCAAAUCCAAGUAGCACAUUUGCUAUGUGAUCUAAAGAAACAGAUGCAGGGAAGCCAAGAUGUGAGACAGGAAAGGAAUAAAAACAAAGAGUGCUUUAUCAAGUCAAUUACCAUAGUGGGCAACUGGAAUUUCAUCUUACAGAAUUUCUAUGGAAAAUAGUAUGGAAGACACACUGUAGACUAUUUACAUCAAUGGGGCUAGAGAGUUGGGGGUGUUUUUACACCAAUCGAACAUCCUUAUGUGAAGGAAAAUGUUAUUUAACCCAGUUAUAGUAUAGUUUUUGGUUCCGCUUUUACCUCUUUGAUUCUGAAUACACAAUUACUAUGAGCACUGGAUGGAAGAGCCAGUUAACGACUAAAAUAGGGGCAUUCCAGGUGUGCAAGAAAAUCCUGCACUUAACAUUCUUCGAUGGAUAUCACAUUACCCCUUACACCCUGACUCAUGUUAUUGCAAUAUUCACUUAGCCUGGAUUUAUCCUGAAUGAGUUUUCGGAACACACGUGAUCCUAAUCUUAUGGUGGGGAAGAAGGCCUAGAUAAACACAGCAUCAGGAAAUUCUGCAAGAGCAGUGGGAUUUAAGUAUGAACAUAAACAUGCAGAAAAUGCUAGGCUUUGUAAUUCACUUCUGCCGUCCUGUGCAUAUAUACAGAAAAAAAAAAAAACAAAAACGAUGGAUCUUUAAAGAAAUCCCUAAGUGGUACUAACGGAUUUAGAUUAUGACUGUCAUUAAUGAUUUUAUACAAUGCUCAGUAAUUUCAAAUGGUUGUAUUAUUUAUAGACUUUCAUAAUCUAAAAAAACAGAAGCUCGACAUAUUUUACCAGUCCGUUCUAUAGCCACAGUUAAAUUCUCAUGGAUAAGUUCAUCUUGGAAGGCAUGGUUUCCAUUAGUUAUGUAGUUCAUGCUGGGCAACAGUUUCAUGCAAAGAAAAUAGAUUGCUUCCCCUUAGAUCAUAUGGAUGCUGAGUUCACCCUUGGUGCAGACCUCUAUCUCUGAGGGACCUUUUAGUGAGUGGUUCUUUUUUUUUUUUUUAAUGUUUAUUUAUUUUGAGAGGGAGGAGGAGAAGGGCAUAGAGAGGGGGAGAGAGAAUCCGAAGCAGGCUUUGCAUUGACAGCACAGAGCCCGAUGCAGGGCUCGAUCCUACAAACCAUGACAUUGUGACCUGAGCCGGAAUCAAGAUUUGGAUGCUUAACCAGCUGGUCACCCAGGUGCCCCGUGGUUCUUAAUUCAUAAAACCAAAUGCUUUCCUGAAUUUAUUUUCCAUGUUAAUUAUCUAUUACCGGCACACUUUCAGUUUUGUACCUUUCCCAUACCUUGCAUGGAGAAGAGAGAAGGUAUUCUCUCAAUCCUUGAAUAUUUCAUGUGAAAUUUCUCCUCUCUUUGUUUCCAGACACCGGACAUGUACUGGUUGUAUGAUAUCAAUGGGUUACCUCAAGUUACCAAGCCACUGAUGAAUGUCAAAGCCAAAGUUGACACUACUAACAAGAUGUUUGAUAGACGGCCAGUUGGUCAGCACAAUUUUAUCCGUGAAAAUGCUAAACUCAUAAGGACAGGGGUGUCCUCUACCAUCAAGGGUGCGCCUUUGAUGUUGAAGAAUAAAUAAAUACUUUU